CAGUCGCCGCGGGAAUACGUAGGGUGCAAGCGUUAAUCGGAAUUACUGGGCGUAAAGCGCACGCAGGCGGUUUGUUAAGUCAGAUGUGAAAUCCCCGAGCUUAACUUGGGAACUGCAUUUGAAACUGGCAAGCUAGAGUCUUGUAGAGGGGGGUAGAAUUCCAGGUGUAGCGGUGAAAUGCGUAGAGAUCUGGAGGAAUACCGGUGGCGAAGGCGGCCCCCUGGACAAAGACUGACGCUCAGGUGCGAAAGCGUGGGGAGCAAACAGGAUUAGAUACCCCAGUAGUCCCUGUCUCUUAUAC
rnacentral:rRNA from 1 species